AGUUAAGUUCUCUUUUGAAACCAGAAAUGCGGCUUCAGUGAUCGUCCUGGCUAGAGCCCUCUAGUCUUGGUUAUCGUGGACAACUUGGCGGCAGAUUCCCAGGUUCUUUGCAAUGAAUGAGGCUCUUAGUCCGCGUGAGUUAAAGUGAACACUCCUUCAAAGCAAAGAAGUAAAAUCGUAAUGGCCAAAUACCAAUACCAAGGAUCGUCCUUCAGACUGACAGCUUUAUAAAUGGCCACUAAACCGUGAGCUGCAAAUAUCAAACGGGGCUUAAGUCAACUGAGGUCUGAAAUGAGUGGUUUUGAUUCUGGCCCCCUCAAACCCUCAACCAACCAUGUAACCUGGGUCAGAGAUGAGUGGAAAUAACCAGGGGAAAACUGGAACAAUGAAGAGCCCACCCAAGGCCGAUGGGAUAAUUUUUCUUCCCCUUUUUCGAUGAAAUGAGACUUCAGGUGCAGGACUCCUCAACCUUUAAGCCAUCAAGCAAUUCUCAACCCAAGAUCUCUCAUCCACGUGACAGCGGGACAGAUUGCUUUCUGUUCCUUGAUUGUCAACAGAAGUGCCUCCAAAUGGAUCACUUGAUGUGAUAUUCUGUUGCGAUUAAGAAGUCCAUGUUUGAAGUGCUUCUGUCCGAAUUGUCAGAAGGACUCUUAAAGGCGAAUGAAGAGAGAGAAAAAACUCUCUAAUUGUAUGAAAACGAUGCUCCUGGGACCCCCAUGCCAUGGACCACACGGGGAAUAGGGAA